rnacentral:rRNA from 1 species
CGUGUAGGCGGUUUAGCAAGUCAGAUGUGAAAGCCCUGGGCUCAACCCGGGAAGUGCAUUUGAAACUGCUUCACUAGAGUAUGGGAGAGGAGAUUGGAAUUCCUGGUGUAGAGGUGAAAUUCGUAGAUAUCAGGAGGAACACCCGUGGCGAAGGCGAUUCUCUGGACCAAUACUGACGCUGAGGCGCGAAGGCGUGGGGAGCAAACAGGAUUAGAUACCCUGGUAGUCC